AAAGCCAGUAUAACUCUAAAGUCCCAAAGUUCCAAAGAGUACUGCGUCAUUGAGUGAACACGUGCAACUGCAUUCUGCCGGAAAAAAUGUCUAAUACGAAAACCGAACAGCGAAUCAACAUUAAAUUUCUGGUGAAACUGAAGAAACUAGCCAGGGAGGAAGCCUUUCAAAUGUUAACCGAGGCUUGUGGAUAUGAAUCUUUGUUUCGUGCACGUGUGAUUGAAUGGAAUAAGCGCUUUUCAGUGUGAAGGAGCAGUGUGGGAGAUGAUGAACUUGCUCGGCGUCCAAGGGGGCCUCCAGGAUGUUCAUCGUGAUUGAGUGGGUUCCCAGUAGUCAGACUGAAUCAAUACUACUACAUUGAAGUACUAAAAAGACUUCGUGAAAAUAUUAGGAAAAAAGACCACAGUUGUGGAGUGAUAGAGGGAUGUUACACCAGACAAUGCGCCCGCUCACAUGGCCCUAUCUAUCGAGCAGUUUCUAACAAGCAAAAAUAUUACUGUGAUGGGGCAUUCCUUAUUCACCUGAUUUGGCUUCAUGCGACUUUUUUAUUGUUUCCUAAAGUUAAAUCUUGCUUAAAGGAACCCAUUUUUACCACAGUUGAAGAGGUUCAGGCAAAAACGGAGAAUCUCCUAAAGGGCCUUCCAAAAACGUCGUUCCAUAACUGUUACCAGCAAUGGUACACCGAAUGCAGAAGUGUGUGAAUGCUGAAGGGUAUUACUUUGAAGGUGAUAAUGGCAAGGAGAACUGAUUCUUUACAGGCCAAAUUCAGGAGCUAUCUACUGAUUCGACUUCAACGGUCUCUCCAAGUUCACCUGCGGUACUAGUUUUUCCGGCCGAAGUGCACCAAACAGAGGUUAAGUCGGGAUCUUGGUGCUCUUCUGGAGAUGAAGCAAUUUCUGAGACGGUGAAAGUCUCAGGUCCUGGAAUUUCAAAUAAUCAAGAUUAAUUUUGAUCGUGAUUGCAUGGUAAAAAGCUCAUGUAUUGCCACGGAAUUCUGUUUCCCAGCGCAUGGAGAGUAUUACUGAUGUUUAAUAUUUUAACUGUGUAAUUUUAGUGUGCAAUAAAGUCAUUUUAUCAAGUUUUGUACCAUUCUUAAAA